rnacentral:rRNA from 1 species
GUGGGGAAUAUUGGACAAUGGGCGAAAGCCUGAUCCAGCCAUGCCGCGUGUGUGAAGAAGGUCUUCGGAUUGUAAAGCACUUUAAGUUGGGAGGAAGGGCAGUAAGUUAAUACCUUGCUGUUUUGACGUUACCGACUGAAUAAGCACCGGCUAACUUCGUGCCAGCAGCCGCGGUAAUACGAAGGGUGCAAGCGUUAAUCGGAAUUACUGGGCGUAAAGCGCGCGUAGGUGGUUUUGUAAGUUGGAGGUGAAAUCCACGGGCUCAACCUGAGAACUGCCUCCAAAACUGCAUGACUAGAGUACGGUAGAGGGUAGUGGAAUUUCCUGUGUAGCGGUGAAAUGCGUAGAUAUAGGAAGGAACAACAGUGGCGAAGGCGACUACCUGGACUGAUACUGACACUGAGGUGCGAAAGCGUGGGGAGCAAACAGGAUUAGAAACCCGUGUAGUCC